AGAGGGACGGCUGGCUGCAGGGCAGGGACCGGACAGGAUGCCGGAGCAGCUGUCACCCAGCCCUCCAGGAAGCUGACGUCCCUCCCCAAGGGCUGAUUCAUGGGGCAGGAUGGGAGGGGCUGUUGACUGAAGGGACAGCCAGAGAUCAAGAGGGGGAGCAGUGAUGGAGAGACAGAGAGAUACCUGCAGCCCUGCUUGGCCACUCAUUUUAGACGGAAAAGCAAAGAGAAUCACCUGAAAACUCAACUAAUUAUGCCCAGGAUCUUUUCAGAAACUCACCAAGCCACAGGUGAGUGCAGACAGGUACUGCCACGACGCCACCCUGACCUCCCUGGGCAGACGCCCUCACCCAUGUGUCCUGGAGCCUCCCCUCCCCAGAGCCCUGCCCCAAUAGGGACAGACAGACACAGGCUGGGGGUGUGGAUCCACCUGCCAACACCCAUGUCCAGCGGAGAAGCAAUGACAGAAGCCAGACCUCCCACCUUCUGCUCCCCAUAAAGAAUUUGGGCCCAUGCUCCCAGAGGGAUGAAGAACAGGGAAGCUUCCAGUGGAGGAGACGGGAUGAUGGGAACUGUGUGGAAUUAUACCCGUCUUAUCCCACUAUCUUGUCAAUUGUCAUUAAGUCACUAGUAAAACAAAAUAAAAUAAAAUAAAAAGACUUGGCCUGUGACCUCUCACUCUGCCUGUGCCGAGACCAGACAGGCCUGCCCCCAGCCCCCACCACAGGGUCACCCCCAGCCUCUGCCUCACAGAGCACCGGGAGCAAACUCCUGGGACGUGUUGGGGAUGCACAUGUCACACACCAUCAGCUGCUCCAACAAACACCGUCAU